AUGGUGGGCAUGAAGGCGAGCAUGCUUGGCGUGACGGUGCUGGCAUGCGGAGACUCGUUGGGCGACCUAGUCUCCAACGUGGCGAUGGCAACGCACAGGGGCCCCGAUGGCGCGCAGAUGGCCGUGUCAUCCUGCUGCGCCGGGCCGCCGUUCAACACGGUGGUGGGGCUAAGGAUUUCGCUGACGCUGGCGGCGGGCGCGCAGUACCUGGCGUCGUUCAUGCUCCCGGCGGACGAAGCGGUGUACGAGACGGUGGGGUUCCUGUGCACCGGGCCGGCGUGGGUGCUGGUGGUGGUGCCGGUGAGGGGCAUGCGGCUCGACCGGGUGCACGGGGUGGGCCUCAUCAUCAUCUACCUCACUUUCUUCGGCGUCCGCGUCCUCGACAGCCUCGGCCUCUGGUUCGAGUAG
rnacentral:rRNA from 1 species